UUCUUACCUGUCUGUAUAAAGAGGGGCACAUCUGCCAGCCAGUAGGCACAGAUAUCAGCACCUACUGUCAAUCACAUACUUUGCUCUCUCUUACAAGUCUUUUGACUCUGAAUAAAGCAUCAGGAUGAAGUGUGCUGCUCUCUUUCUGGUGUUAUCAGUCAUCAUCUUCAUGGCUGAACCUGGAGUGGGUCAACAGACCCACAUUGGACACGGUGGCAGUGGAAACAUCCAGGUUGGAGGAAAACAGCUUGAAAAGCGUCAAAUGUCGUUUGAAGACGAUAACUUGCCAGACCUUACGUAUUCGUCGUGAACCUGUGACGGCUCGUCUGAAGGGACGUCUGAAGAUUUGAUCUUUCUGCAGCUAUGACCAUGAAUAC